AUGGCAUGUAGAUCUAGUUGAUGUUAUGAGAUUCAUCAUCUCCUAUGAUGGUACAUUUGUCAACAUUGACGACGAGUGGAAGUGGUUAGGCAACCGAACAACAUCAAUUGUUGUUCGACGUGAUAUUGAAUAUGAAGAGCUUGUACAUAAAUUAUUUGAGAAGCUCAAUAUUGACAGACUGCAGUUUCGGAUGCAACUAAAAUUUAAAGUUCCAAACAUGAACGUACCCCCUACUGAUGUAGUCGACAAUGAGGCUUUGCAAUGGGA
rnacentral:lncRNA from 1 species